AGCAGCCGCGGUAAUUCCAGCUCCAAUAGCGUAUAUUAAAGUUGUUGCAGUUAAAAAGCUCGUAGUUGAAUUUCGGGAUCAAUACGUCGGUCGUGCUUCGGUACGUACUGGCGUCAUUGGUUUCUCCCUUCUGACGAACCACGAUGUCAUUAACUUGGUGUCAUGGGAAAUCAGGACUGUUACUUUGAAAAAAUUAGAGUGUUUAAAGCAGGCUCACGCUUGAAUACAUUAGCAUGGAAUAAUGAAAUAGGACGUUCGAUCCUAUUUUGUUGGUUUCUAGGAUCAACGUAAUGAUUAAUAGGGAUAGUUGGGGGCAUUAGUAUUCAAUUGUCAGAGGUGAAAUUCUUGGAUUUAUUGAAGACUAACUACUGCGAAAGCAUUUGCCAAGGAUGUUUUCAUUAAUCAAGAACGAAAGUUAGGGGAUCGAAGACGAUCAGAUACCGUCGUAGUCUUAACCAUAAACUAUGCCGACUAGGGAUCGGAUGAUGUAAUUUUUAAUGACUCAUUCGGCGCCUUACGG
rnacentral:rRNA from 1 species